rnacentral:rRNA from 1 species
UACGUAGGGGGCGAGCGUUGCUCGGAAUCACUGGGCGUAAAGCGCACGUAGGCGGAUCUUUAAGUCAGGGGUGAAAUCCCAAGGCUCAACCUUGGAACUGCCUUUGAUACUGGGGAUCUCGAGUCCGGAAGAGGUUGGUGGAACUGCGAGUGUAGAGGGUGAAAUUCGUAGAUAUUCGCAAGAACACCAGUGGCGAAGGGCGGCCAACUGGUCCGGUACUGACGCUGAGGUGCGAAAGCGUGGGGAGCAA